GAUGAAGAACGCAGCGAAAUGCGAUAAGUAAUGUGAAUUGCAGAAUUCAGUGAAUCAUCGAAUCUUUGAACGCACCUUGCACCCUUUGGCAUUCCGAAGGGUAUGCUCGUUUGAGUGUCAUUGUACUCUCACACUUCCAAUCUUUGGAUUGGGAGCAGUGGACUUGGGUGUUGCUGCUUACUGUGGCUCACCUCAAAUCGAUUCGUGCACCUCUUGGUUGGACAUAGUACGGCGUGAUAAGUGUCUUCGCCGGCACCUCAGUAGAGGGUGGCUGAUCAGGAGCUCUGUGCUUCAAACCGUCCUCGGACAACAACUGACAACUUGACCUCAAAUCGAGUAGGACUACCUGCUGAACUUAAGCAUAUCAAUAAGCGGAGGA
rnacentral:misc_RNA from 1 species